ACUACCCGCUGAACUUUAAGCAUAUCAUA
rnacentral:rRNA from 1 species